CCUACGGGUGGCUGCAGUGAGGAAUAUUGGUCAAUGGGCGGGAGCCUGAACCAGCCAAGUCGCGUGAAGGAAGACGGUACUUAGUAUUGUAAACUUCUUUUGUCGGGGAACAAAGCCGGAGACGCGUCUCCGGCUGAGUGUACCCGAAGAAUAAGCAUCGGCUAACUCCGUGCCAGCAGCCGCGGUAAUACGGGGGAUGCGAGCGUUAUCCGGAUUUAUUGGGUUUAAAGGGUGCGCAGGCGGUAGAUCAAGUCAGCGGUAAAAUGUCGGGGCUCAACCCCGGCCGGCCGUUGAAACUGGUGUUCGAGAGUUGGAGAGAGGUAUGCGGAAUGCGUGGUGUAGCGGUGAAAUGCAUAGAUAUCACGAAGAACUCCGAUUGCGAAGGCAGCAUACCGGC
rnacentral:rRNA from 1 species